rnacentral:rRNA from 1 species
CCGGUGGAUAGAGAUGGGCACGCGCAAGAUUAGAUAGUUGGUGAGGUAACGGCUCACCAAGUCUGUGAUCUUUAGGGGUCCUGAGAGGGAGAUCCCCCACACUGGUACUGAGACACGGACCAGACUCCUACGGGAGGCAGCAGUGAGGAAUAUUGGACAAUGGGUGAAAGCCUGAUCCAGCCAUCCCGCGUGAAGGAUGACGGUCCUAUGGAUUGUAAACUUCUUUUGUACAGGGAUAAACCUACCCUCGUGAGGGUAGCUGAAGGUACUGUACGAAUAAGCACCGGCUAACUCCGUGCCAGCAGCCGCGGUAAUACGGAGGGUGCAAGCGUUAUCCGGAUUUAUUGGGUUUAAAGGGUCCGUAGGCGGACCUGUAAGUCAGUGGUGAAAUCUCAUAGCUUAACUAUGAAACUGCCAUUGAUACUGCAGGUCUUGAGUAAAUUUGAAGUGGCUGGAAUAAGUAGUGUAGCGGUGAAAUGCAUAGAUAUUACUUAGAACACCAAUUGCGAAGGCAGGUCACUAAGAUUUAACUGACGCUGAUGGACGAAAGCGUGGGUAGCGAACAGGAUUAGAUACCCUGGUAGUCCACGCCGUAAACGAUGCUAACUCGUUUUUGGAUUUUCGGAUUCAGAGACCAAGCGAAAGUGAUAAGUUAGCCACCU